GAUGAACGCUGGCGGCGUGCUUAACACAUGCAAGUCGAACGGUGAAGGCGGAGCUUGCUCUGCUGGAUCAGUGGCGAACGGGUGAGUAACACAUGAGCAAUCUGCCCCUGACUCUGGGAUAAGCGCUGGAAACGGCGUCUAAUACUGGAUACGAGCUGCGAAGGCAUCUUCAGCAGCUGGAAAGAAUUUCGGUCAGGGAUGAGCUCGCGGCCUAUCAGCUUGUUGGUGAGGUAAUGGCUCACCAAGGCGUCGACGGGUAGCCGGCCUGAGAGGGUGACCGGCCACACUGGGACUGAGACACGGCCCAGACUCCUACGGGAGGCAGCAGUGGGGAAUAUUGCACAAUGGGCGAAAGCCUGAUGCAGCAACGCCGCGUGGGGGACGACGGCCUUCGGGUUGUAAACCUCUUUUGGCAGGGAAGAAGCGAAAGUGACGGUACCUGCAGAAAAAGCGCCGGCUAACUACGUG
rnacentral:rRNA from 1 species